UCAACACUAAGGGAAGGACUGAUUUAAACACUGACGGAGGUGCUGCUAUCAACACUAAGGGAAGGACUGAUUUAAACACUGACGGAGGUGCUGCUAUCAACACUAAGGGAAGGACUGAUUUAAACACUGACGGAGGUGCUGCUAUCAACACUAAGGGAAGGACUGAUUUAAACACUGACGGAGGUGCUGCUAUCAACACUAAGGGAAGGACUGAUUUAAACACUGACGGAGGUGCUGCUAUCAACACUAAGGGAAGGACUGAUUUAAACACUGACGGAGGUGCUGCUAUCAACACUAAGGGAAGGACUGAUUUAAACACUGACGGAGGUGCUGCUAUCAACACUAAGGGAAGGACUGAUUUAAACACUGACGGAGGUGCUGCUAUCAACACUAAGGGAAGGACUGAUUUAAACACUGACGGAGGUGCUGCUAUCAACACUAAGGGAAGGACUGAUUUAAACACUGACGGAGGUGCUGCUAUCAACACUAAGGGAAGGACUGAUUUAAACACUGACAGAGGUGCUGCUAUCAACACUAAGGGAAGGACUGAUUUAAACACUGACGGAGGUGCUGCUAUCAACACUAAGGGAAGGACUGAUUUAAACACUGACGGAA